rnacentral:tRNA from 1 species
GCGGAAGUGGCGAAACUGGCAGACGCACCAUCUUGAGGGGGUGGCGCCCUACGGGCAUGCGGGUUCAAGUCCCGCCUUCCGCACAA